rnacentral:rRNA from 1 species
UACGUAGGGGGCGAGCGUUGUCCGGAUUUAUUGGGCGUAAAGGGCGCGUAGGCGGGAAGGUAAGUCGGGUGUGAAAUCCCUCGGCCCAACCGAGGAACUGCGCCCGAGACUGCUUUUCUUGAGUCCCGGAGAGGAAGGUGGAAUUCCCGGUGUAGCGGUGAAAUGUGUAGAGAUCGGGAGGAACACCGGUGGCGAAGGCGGCCUUCUGGACGGUGACUGACGCUGAGGCGCGAAAGCGUGGGGAGCAAACGGG